rnacentral:rRNA from 1 species
CAGUCGCCACGGGAAUACGAAGGGGGCUAGCGUUGCUCGGAAUGACUGGGCGUAAAGGGCGCGUAGGCGGCGAUCAAAGUCAGGCGUGAAAUUCCUGGGCUCAACCUGGGGGCUGCGCUUGAUACUUGGUUGCUUGAGUGGGGAAGAGGGUCGUGGAAUUCCCAGUGUAGAGGUGAAAUUCGUAGAUAUUGGGAAGAACACCGGUGGCGAAGGCGGCGACCUGGUCCUUGACUGACGCUGAGGCGCGAAAGUGUGGGGAGCAAACAGGAUUAGAUACCCCUGUAGUCCCUGUCUCUUAUAU